AUUUCCUUCUCCGUUUCUGUGAGCUCUUCCAGGAUGUGCUGGGUGAGACAGGUUCGAGUUGGAUGGACAGUGCUACAGAGUAAUACCCUCUGUGAGAGACAACAGGCAGUGGGAGCUGAGAUCUGCCAGGGUCUCCUGAGAAGACACUUUCAGUUCUGGCAGAGCCCUGUUUUAGUCUGUUGGGCCUUUACUCCCACUGAGGGCAGAGAGAGUCUCCCUGAUGCCUUUGUUGGAUGCUGGUCUGGAAUUAGUCUGCACAUGGCCUUUCCUUUUGAAGGCAAAGUACACUUUUAUUUGCCAAAGUUAAUAAACAGCAGCAUCAGAACCUAUCCCUGAACAGUCUGAGACUUUAACCUCUCCAUUCCAUCUGUUGGAUGGAAUGGAUCCACUCCGCUGCCUUCUGAGCCAAAGCCUGCAGCCUGAGUUUAUUUAGUGAUGCCUUUUAUUUCAAGAAGUAUGAACUGAGUAAAACUUGAGGGAGAACUAAUGGAUUCACCCCAGAGACAGCAGAAGGAUGUUCUUCACUUCUCAGACUUCUUUAAGAGUGUUCUGUGUUCUUUAGGCCUUCAGCAUUUUCACAGGAUCACACAAUCUGCUGAGUUGGAAGGGACCCAAAAGGAUCAUGGAGUUCAUUUUGCAGGAACGGCUUCUAAAGAGGUUAGCUGUGUAGAUACCAGGGUAUCAAAGGGCCUGUAGGACAUGAGGCAUUGGUGGAAAUUGGAAUGAAGUGUUUUGUUUGUCAUCUCUAUGGACAUGAGGCCACAAAGCACCAGGACAAGAAGCUGACCAUGGAAUCUCUGGAGCUGGAAAUGCCACAGACUCAGUGCCUUGUUUCUGUAGCUGCCACGCGUUACACUGCUCAAAGACCUUUCCCUCAUGUCCACAGCUAUUUUUCCUGGUUAAAUACGAUGAAGGAUGUACUCAUUGACUGUUACACAUCAGAGACUGAUCUGUGGCUGCAAUAACUGACUGUGUUCCCAUGGAUCUUGGUAUUCCUCACAUUCUGAGAGCUGCUACUCCAAAGUGAAGCCAACUUUUCUUAUCAUCCCUAUUUUUAAAGCACGGGCUCAUUGUUGAUCUGGCAGAUUUCAUUCCAGUGCUCUGAGGUUUAGAGAGGCUGUUUCUAAUACAAAGCCUUAUUGCCACCCCCCUGCUGUACAUGUUUCACUUGAACUUUUCAUAAGCACUGCAAAACUUGAGGGAAGUAAGCAAAGCGUAGGUGGUGCUGAAGUCCAAUACUUCGGUCAUGAUCCGUUUCUGCAGACAAGCUGCUUCACUCCCGUCUAUAGGGGGAAUCUAUUUCCAUCUAUAAUCUCCUAUUGAAAGCAAUUAUUUGAUAUCACAAACUUUUUAAACACAUCUGAAGUGAGAAGUGAAAGGCUUUUUCAUUUCCCGCAGCAUUAGAGGUCAAGGAAGAAACGUAAGAAUCAGUCAAGUGAUUGAGUGAUCGACCCAAUAUUUAGCACGAGGAUCCCUCAGAGCAAUAAGGACCUUUGUUCAUCUGUGUGACUCCCUCUGAAAGGGGAACCUGGCAAACCCCCCAGCAAGCGAGACCUCUCCUCAGCAUCACCCCCAGUGCCCUCGUUCGUACCUGUGGAGGUGGCUUGCACGGUUUUCCUCAUCCACUCGUAGGAGCUGUGCCUGUGGCUGCUGGGGGAGCAGUGCUGGGCACUGCCGGGCUCUGCGGGAGGAGCCCCCCCGGCCCCGGGCUGCAGGGAGCUGUACUCGGCGGGGCUGUAGGAGCCCGGGGCGGGGGACGGGGCGCUGAGCUGGGCAGUGCCCGCGCCGGAGGGGCCCGGCCCGUACGCGUUCCAGUCCUCCCUCUGCGGGCCAUAGUGGGAGCCCCAGGGCCCCGGCGGCUGCCCGUGGGUGUCCAGGGCUGGCACGGGGUGGUAUCCCAUGUACUCGGGGUAGGGGGGCGCGGACACGAAGCCCUGCCCUGGCAGGGUGCUGCCGGUGCACCGGGCAGAGCCUGGGUACAUGCUGCUCUCCUGCUCCAAAAGGUAGCUCACGUACAUGGUGCUCAGAACCCGGCUCUGUCCUGCCGGGACAUCCUGCUCCUCGCAGGGCUCGUUUGAUCUCCCUUCCCCUCCUCUUUCUUUCUCUCUUUUCUAGCCUUGCCUGGCUCUAUAAAUGACUCACGCUAGCCCUGAUGUCCCUUUACUACACAUGAUUAACAAUGGUUUUACCAGGUGCUGGUGGUAACAGUUUACUAAGGCCCUGCCUGAUGUCACAGAUAACUGCCUGCCCCAAAAUUACAUUUGCAUUCAAAUGAAGGGCUGCCCAUGCAGGCAACCCCACCUUGCUGCGAGUUCCAGUGCUUCCUUUCUCACAGCUCUCUAUGGAUUGCCAGCCCCGUCCUAUACUUGCAGAAAGGAGUCUGAAAUCUCGUGCUCUUCAAGCAGAGCUGUGUCCAUAGCUACCCAUAACUGUUGAGACAGUAGAGGCAGCAUCUCUCUUGAACCGUGCAUGCCAGAAUCUAACUUCAGGCACCAGCUUAUAGUCACUUAAAGCCUGGUUUCUGCCUGUCCAGUAGUAGUUCUGUCAGAGUGUGCUGUAUUAUUUUUUUAAACUAAACCCAAAGGACCAGUUCAGUCUUUAACUGGAGCUCUUACAUCGUUUCUCAUAUGAACCCCCUUCUUGACUUCAGCUCUUAGUCUGUGUGGGAGAGCACUUAGAAACCGCAGUAAUCCUGCUGAUUUUAACAUUACAAAGGAUAUACAAGAAGUCUCGUAGUCAUUUUGAGCAUUUGUUCAUACGAAUAGUCUUGUUGAUGUUAGCGAGCCGAUUCAUGAGCUGGCUGCUUGCCACGGUGAUUGAAGUUCCUCGGUUCUAACUUACAAUGGAAACAGAAUCUGUUAUUGAGAGAAUGCAAAAUUUGUCACUUUCCCUAUGCUCGUGUCUUGUUUGUGAUAUUGAAAUAAGUGGUAUCUUCCCCUGAAGGUUUUUCUGUUCUCAUUGCUGUGCUUGUUCACAAUAAGGAGCACCUUUUCUUUAGAAAGAUGGGAGCAAAUUAGAGCUUUUUAGCUCAGAAAAGCAGUUUCCAACUUUCAGGAGCAAUCUUAUGUAAGUAACAAAUCCCUACGAGAUCAUCUGUAACCAGGAGCAAGGAGAGAAAGUGUGGAUUUCUUCUUUUUAAGUGAGAUAGAUACCUCAGCAUUGUCUCUUAAUGGGACUUCACCCUGUUUUCAUUCCUGUUCCUUUAAUGAUGUGAUACUUAAUUGCACCUUUAUUCAUGAUCCAACUUGUUAAAGGGAUUUUUCCCUUAAACAGGUGCAAAGUAUAAUGAGUUUUUCUUUGUUCAGAGGUGUAUUUUUUCUCUGAGAGUCUUUUGCACAUCAAUGCCGUUUAAACUUAGAGGUUCUCGGGAAGAGAGAAUUACUUUGCACACCUGACAACACCGAUGUUUCCUUCAGUGAGAGAAAGGUGUCCUCGGGCUGAAUUCACAACAUGGGUGGGGGAAAAGGCUUUUCUGACUGAGAAUUCCAGAGUUAGGUGCAGAAGCACAGCCACCUUCUCUGAGUAUUUAAGAUUUUCCUACUGUGCACGUUGCUGAAACGUUUGCAUCUGGAGUUUUCGGAGGCCGAUGUUUUGCUGGUGUAAUUGCUGAAAGGUAUUUUAAAAAUCAUUAGGUGGAGGGAAGUUGGCAGAAAUGGUUUCUUCUGCUUGCAUAUGUGAGCUUUUUGGGUUGCAAUUCACACUUCUGUCCCAGCUGGUCACUUGGAAUGACCAAGCAGAGUGGCUGGUACAGCCUCCCCAAAUCCAGGGAAGUCACUGCUCAGUGCAUCAUGGAUCUGAACUGCACAAUUCUCCUGUAGCAGCAAAAUAAAUCAGUUAUUAAUUAGGAAUGAGCUGGCUCUAGACAAGUGUCUGCAGUUACCAGUGCAGUGUGAUUUCAAUGUUCGGGUUUUUAGCCAGUGUUUCCCUCCCUGUCCCAAUCGCUCAGAGCACUGUGGUUGCUUGGUAGCUCUCAAGUUUAGACUGCAUUGAAAUAGUUA